UUUAGUGGAAGCGUCUGGAAAGGCGCGCGAUACAGGGUGACAGCCCCGUACACAAAAAUGCACAUGCUGUGAGCUCGAUGAGUAGGGCGGGACACGUGGUAUCCUGUCUGAAUAUGGGGGGACCAUCCUCCAAGGCUAAAUACUCCUGACUGACCGAUAGUGAACCAGUACCGUGAGGGAAAGGCGAAAAGAACCCCGGCGAGGGGAGUGAAAAAGAACCUGAAACCGUGUACGUACAAGCAGUGGGAGCCUCUUUUAUGGGGUGACUGCGUACCUUUUGUAUAAUGGGUCAGCGACUUAUAUUCUGUAGCAAGGUUAACCGAAUAGGGGAGCCGAAGGGAAACCGAGUCUUAACUGGGCGUUAAGUUGCAGGGUAUAGACCCGAAACCCGGUGAUCUAGCCAUGGGCAGGUUGAAGGUUGGGUAACACUAACUGGAGGACCGAACCGACUAAUGUUGAAAAAUUAGCGGAUGACUUGUGGCUGGGGGUGAAAGGCCAAUCAAACCGGGAGAUAGCUGGUUCUCCCCGAAAGCUAUUUAGGUAGCGCCUCGUGAAUUCAUCUCCGGGGGUAGAGCACUGUUUCGGCAAGGGGGUCAACCCGAUGCAAACUGCGAAUACCGGAGAAUGUUAUCACGGGAGACACACGGCGGGUGCUAACGUCCGUCGUGAAGAGGGAAACAACCCAGACCGCCAGCUAAGGUCCCAAAGUCAUGGUUAAGUGGGAAACGAUGUGGGAAGGCCCAGACAGCCAGGAUGUUGGCUUAGAAGCAGCCAUCAUUUAAAGAAAGCGUAAUAGCUCACUGGUCGAGUCGGCCUGCGCGGAAGAUGUAACGGGGCUAAACCAUGCACCGAAGCUGCGGCAGCGACGCUUAUGCGUUGUUGGGUAGGGGAGCGUUCUGUAAGCCUGUGAAGGUGUGCUGUGAGGCAUGCUGGAGGUAUCAGAAGUGCGAAUGCUGACAUAAGUAACGAUAAAGCGGGUGAAAAGCCCGCUCGCCGGAAGACCAAGGGUUCCUGUCCAACGUUAAUCGGGGCAGGGUGAGUCGACCCCUAAGGCGAGGCCGAAAGGCGUAGUCGAUGGGAAACAGGUUAAUAUUCCUGUACUUGGUGUUACUGCGAAGGGGGGACGGAGAAGGCUAUGUUGGCCGGGCGACGGUUGUCCCGGUUUAAGCGUGUAGGCUGGUUUUCCAGGCAAAUCCGGAAAAUCAAGGCUGAGGCGUGAUGACGAGGCACUACGGUGCUGAAGCAACAAAUGCCCUGCUUCCAGGAAAAGCCUCUAAGCAUCAGGUAACAUCAAAUCGUACCCCAAACCGACACAGGUGGUCAGGUAGAGAAUACCAAGGCGCUUGAGAGAACUCGGGUGAAGGAACUAGGCAAAAUGGUGCCGUAACUUCGGGAGAAGGCACGCUGAUAUGUAGGUGAAGUCCCUUGCGGAUGGAGCUGAAAUCAGUCGAAGAUACCAGCUGGCUGCAACUGUUUAUUAAAAACACAGCACUGUGCAAACACGAAAGUGGACGUAUACGGUGUGACGCCUGCCCGGUGCCGGAAGGUUAAUUGAUGGGGUCAGCGCAAGCGAAGCUCUUGAUCGAAGCCCCGGUAAACGGCGGCCGUAACUAUAACGGUCCUAAGGUAGCGAAAUUCCUUGUCGGGUAAGUUCCGACCUGCACGAAUGGCGUAAUGAUGGCCAGGCUGUCUCCACCCGAGACUCAGUGAAAUUGAACUCGCUGUGAAGAUGCAGUGUACCCGCGGCAAGACGGAAAGACCCCGUGAACCUUUACUAUAGCUUGACACUGAACAUUGAGCCUUGAUGNNNNNNGCUUGACUGCGAGCGUGACGGCGCGAGCAGGUGCGAAAGCAGGUCAUAGUGAUCCGGUGGUUCUGAAUGGAAGGGCCAUCGCUCAACGGAUAAAAGGUACUCCGGGGAUAACAGGCUGAUACCGCCCAAGAGUUCAUAUCGACGGCGGUGUUUGGCACCUCGAUGUCGGCUCAUCACAUCCUGGGGCUGAAGUAGGUCCCAAGGGUAUGGCUGUUCGCCAUUUAAAGUGGUACGCGAGCUGGGUUUAGAACGUCGUGAGACAGUUCGGUCCCUAUCUGCCGUGGGCGCUGGAGAACUGNNCCGAGAUGAGUUCUCCCUGACUCCUUGAGAGUCCUGAAGGAACGUUGAAGACGACGACGUUGAUAGGCCGGGUGUGUAAGCGCAGCGAUGCGUUGAGCUAACCGGUACUAAUGAACCGUGAGGCUUAACCUUACAACGCCGAAG
rnacentral:rRNA from 1 species